GAUGUUCUUGGAGUGACAGAGAGUGAGGGCAGAGUGGAAGGGUUUAAUGAGUGGAAAAUUGUAGGUGGAGAUGAGAAAGAUGGAUAUGAGAUUUUUGAUAGUGGAGAUGCAGGGCUUUCAGAAUUGGCUGGGAUUGAUGGAAACCUACA